CAGUCGCCGCGGGAAUACAGAGGUCUCAAGCGUUGUUCGGAUUCAUUGGGCGUAAAGGGUGCGUAGGUGGCUUGGUAAGUUGAAGGUGAAAUCUCGGGGCUUAACUCCGAAACUGCCUCCAAUACUGCUGAGCUCGAGGAUUGUAGAGGAGAAUGGAAUUCACGGUGUAGCAGUGAAAUGCGUAGAUAUCGUGAGGAAGACCAGUGGCGAAGGCGAUUCUCUGGGCAAUUCCUGACACUGAGGCACGAAGGCCAGGGGAGCAAACGGGAUUAGAUACCCGUGUAGUCCCUGUCUCUUAUAC
rnacentral:rRNA from 1 species